ACCCUCGGCAACGGAUAUCUAGGCUCUCGCAUCGAUGAAGAACGUAGCAAAAUGCGAUACUUGGUGUGAAUUGCAGAAUCCCGUGAACCGUCGAGUUUUUGAACGCAAGUUGCGCCCGAAGCCAUUAGGCUGAGGGCACGUCUGCUUGGGUGUCUCA
rnacentral:rRNA from 1 species